rnacentral:rRNA from 1 species
GUGUCAGCCGCCGCGGUAAUACGUAGGGGGCGAGCGUUGUCCGGAAUUACUGGGUGUAAAGGGCGUGUAGGCGGGGAUGCAAGUUACCGGUAAAAACCCGUGGCUCAACCACGGGCUUGCCGAUAAAACUGCAUCUCUUGAGUGUAGGAGAGGGAAGUGGAAUUCCCGGAGUAGCGGUGAAAUGCGUAGAUACCGGGAGGAACACCAGUGGCGAAGGCGGCUUCCUGGCCUAUCACUGACGCUGAGGCGCGAAAGCUAGGGGAGCGAACGGGAUUAGAUACCCCGGUAGUCCUAGCCGUAAACGAUGGUCACUAGGUGUGGGUGGUGGUCAAGCCAUCCGUGCCGGAGCUAACGCAAUAAGUGUCCCGCCUGGGGAGUACGGUCGCAAGACUGAAACUUAAAUGAAUUGACGG